rnacentral:misc_RNA from 1 species
AAGUCGUAACAAGGUUUCCGUAGGUGAACCUGCGGAAGGAUCACUAAAGAGAACUUGCCCUUCGGAGUAGAUCUCCCACCCUUUGUUUCAUUCAUCACUUUGUUGCUUUGGCUGGGCCUUGCCUGCACGGCUGCCGGCGUAAGCGUGGCUCGCGCCCGCCCAGAGACCCCCAAACUCUGAAUAUUGUCGUCUGAGUAAUAUAUAAUAAGUUAAAAC